GCCUGGGUGGCUCAGUCGGUUGAGCGACUGACUUCGGCUCAGGUCAUGAUCUCACGGUUUGUGAGUUCGAGCCCCGCGUCUGGCU
rnacentral:tRNA from 1 species